GACGAACGCUGGCGGCGUGCCUAAUACAUGCAAGUUGAGCGCUGAAGGUUGGUACUUGUACCAACUGGAUGAGCAGCGAACGGGUGAGUAACGCGUGGGGAAUCUGCCUUUGAGCGGGGGACAACAUUUGGAAACGAAUGCUAAUACCGCAUAAAAACUUUAAACACAAGUUUUAAGUUUGAAAGAUGCAAUUGCAUCACUCAAAGAUGAUCCCGCGUUGUAUUAGCUAGUUGGUGAGGUAAAGGCUCACCAAGGCGAUGAUACAUAGCCGACCUGAGAGGGUAAUCGGCCACAUUGGGACUGAGACACGGCCCAAACUCCUACGGGAGGCAGCAGUAGGGAAUCUUCGGCAAUGGACGAAAGUCUGACCGAGCAACGCCGCGUGAGUGAAGAAGGGUUUCGGAUCGUAAAACUCUGUUGGUAGAGAAGAACGUUGGUGAGAGUGGAAAGCUCAUCAAGUGACGGUAACUACCCAGAAAGGGACGGCUAACUACGUG
rnacentral:rRNA from 1 species